rnacentral:rRNA from 1 species
UACGGAAGGUGCAAGCGUUAGUCGGAAUUACUGGGCGUAAAGGGUGCGUAGGCGGUGAUAUAAGUCGGGCGUGAAAUCCCGGGGCUCAACCCCGGAACGGCGUACGAUACUGUAUUACUAGAGGAAUGGCGGAGAAAAUGGAAUUCCAUAUGUAGCGGUGAAAUGCGUAGAUAUAUGGAAGAACACCUGUGGCGAAAGCGGUUUUCUAGCCUCCUCCUGACGCUGAGGCACGAAAGCAAGGGGAG